rnacentral:rRNA from 1 species
GACGAACGCUGGCGGCGUGCUUAACACAUGCAAGUCGAACGGGCCCGCCCCUGUUUUUGGGGGUGGGUUGAGUGGCGAACGGGUGAGUAUCACGUGAGUAACCUGCCCCCUGCUCCUGGAUAACUGCUUGAAAGGGCGGCUAAUACGGGGUGUGCCGGCUGGUCCGCAUGGGCCUGGUCGGGAUAGUUUCAUCUUCGGGUGUUUCGGUGGGGGAUGGGCUCGCGGCCUAUCAGCUUGUUGGUGGGGUGAUGGCCCACCAAGGCGGUGACGGGUAGCCGGCCUGAGAGGGUGGGCGGCCACACUGGGACUGGGACACGGCCCAGACGCCUGCGGGAGGCAGCAGUGGGGGGUAUUGCACAAUGGGCGGAAGCCGGAUGCAGCGACGUCGCGUGAGGGAUGGAGGCCUUCGGGUGGUGAACCUCUUUCUCCGGUGGUGAAGGCCCUGUCCGUUGCGGCGGGGUUGACGGUAGCCGGGUAUGAAGCGCCGGCUAACUACGUG